CACGGGCGGCCUGUUAAGUCAGAUGUGAAAGACCCGGGGCGUUAACCUCGGAAUUGCAUUUGAAACUAGGCAGGCUAGAGUCUUGUAGAGGGGGUAGGAAGUUUCAGGUGUAGCGGUGAAAUAGCGUAGAGAUCUGAAGGAAUACCAGUGGCGAAGGCGGCCCCCUCGGACAAAGACUGACGCUCAGAUGCGAAAGCGUGGGGAGCAAACAGGAUUAGAUACCCUGGUAG
rnacentral:rRNA from 1 species